rnacentral:rRNA from 1 species
UACGUAGGGUGCGAGCGUUGUCCGGAAUUAUUGGGCGUAAAGGGCUCGUAGGCGGUUUGUCACGUCAGGAGUGAAAACUCGGGGCUCAACCCCGAGCCUGCUUCUGAUACGGGCAGACUGGAGGUAUGCAGGGGAGAACGGAAUUCCUGGUGUAGCGGUGAAAUGCGCAGAUAUCAGGAGGAACACCUGUGGCGAAAGCGGCGCACUGGACCACAACUGACGCUGAGGCGCGAAAGCUAGGGGAGCAAACAGG